GAUGAACGCUGGCGGCGUGCCUAAUACAUGCAAGUCGAGCGAACAGACGAGGAGCUUGCUCCUUUGACGUUAGCGGCGGACGGGUGAGUAACACGUGGGUAACCUACCUAUAAGACUGGGAUAACUUCGGGAAACCGGAGCUAAUACCGGAUAAUAUUUCGAACCGCAUGGUUCGAUAGUGAAAGAUGGCUUUGCUAUCACUUAUAGAUGGACCUGCGCCGUAUUAGCUAGUUGGUAAGGUAACGGCUUACCAAGUCAACGAUACGUAGCCGACCUGAGAGGGUGAUCGGCCACACUGGAACUGAGACACGGUCCAGACUCCUACGGGAGGCAGCAGUAGGGAAUCUUCCGCAAUGGGCGAAAGCCUGACGGAGCAACGCCGCGUGAGUGAUGAAGGUCUUCGGAUCGUAAAACUCUGUUAUUAGGGAAGAACAAACGUGUAAGUAACUGUGCACGUCUUGACGGUACCUAAUCAGAAAGCCACGGCUAACUACGUG
rnacentral:rRNA from 1 species